rnacentral:rRNA from 1 species
AUUGAACGCUGGCGGAAUGCUUUACACAUGCAAGUCGAACGGUAGAGGGGCAACCCUUGAGAGUGGCGAACGGGUGAGUAAUGUAUCGGAACAUGCCCAGUCGUGGGGGAUAACGUAGCGAAAGUUACGCUAAUACCGCAUACGAUCUAUGGAUGAAAGCGGGGGAUCGCAAGACCUCGCGCGAUUGGAGUGGCCGAUAGCAGAUGAGGUAGUUGGUGGGGUAAAGGCCUACCAAGCCGACGAUCUGUAGCUGGUCUGAGAGGACGACCAGCCACACUGGGACUGAGACACGGCCCAGACUCCUACGGGAGGCAGCAGUGGGGAAUUUUGGACAAUGGGCGAAAGCCUGAUCCAGCCAUUCCGCGUGCAGGAAGAAGGCCUUCGGGUUGUAAACUGCUUUUGUACGGAACGAAACGCGCUGUGCUAAUACCACGGCGUAAUGACGGUACCGUAAGAAUAAGCACCGGCUAACUACGUGCCAGCAGCCGCCGUAA